AUCCGGGCGAGCGGAAUUCAGGACCGACGGGCGGCGACCCUUUCGCGAGGGUCGUCUCUCGUCGAUUCGAUAUUUCCGCCGCCGACCUUUACAGGUGCGGACGUCGCGACCCGUUCGUCGUCGGUCUUACGGGCCGCGUUUUUCGAGUUCGUCGCGCGCGCGCUUUCGCGGCGCGCACGCGGCGACGACGCGUGUUCCCGGGCCGGCGUACGCGGACGGUAGCUGCAAACGCGCGGGUAUUCGACGCGGCCGAUCGGCGAGAUUCGGUUCUCGUCGGGCGCGCGCGUCGACGCCGGUCAGCGACGAAUCUUCGGGCCUCUUUCCGACCCGUCUUGAAACACGGACCAAGGAGUCUAACGUGCGCGCGAGUCGCGGGGUACUCGAGUCGUUCUAAACACGCGACUCGUUACGAAUACGAAACCCGUUUACGUACGUUGUGCGAAGGCGUAAUGAAAGUGAGGCGACGCCUUCGGGCGUCGCCGGGGAAGACGGUGUUUCCGAGUACACGUGUUUCUCGGUCUUUCACUGUAUCCGAGACCGGACACCCGCAUUCCCGGGGCGUCCCGUCCGUCCGUCGACGGUGCGGACGUUUCGCGCGUCGGCCGCCGACGAACUGGGGCGCACCCAUAGCGUGCACGUUGGUACCCGAAAGAUGGUGAACUAUGCCCGGCCAGGAUGAAGUCAGGGGAAACCCUGAUGGAGGUCCGCAGCGAUUCUGACGUGCAAAUCGAUCGUUNGAGC
rnacentral:rRNA from 1 species